AUCUACGGCCAUAUCACCCUGAACGCUCCCGAUCUCGUCUGAUCUCGGAAGCUAAGCAGGGUCGGGCCUGGUUAGUACUUGGAUGGGAAGAGAGUAAAACUUUUCCAAUUGUUCUGCUAAUUGCCUUCUGUUGAGC
rnacentral:rRNA from 1 species